UCACAGAGCUUACGGAUUCUCG
rnacentral:miRNA from 1 species